AGAGUUUGAUCCUGGCUCAGAACGAACGCUGGCGGCAGGCCUAACACAUGCAAGUCGAGCGCUGUAGCAAUACAGAGCGGCGCACGGGUGAGUAACACGUGGGAACGUGCCCUUUGGUUCGGAAUAACUCAGGGAAACUUGAGCUAAUACCGGAUGAGCCCUAACGGGGAAAGAUUUAUCGCCGAAGGAGCGGCCCGCGUUGGAUUAGCUAGUUGGUGGGGUAAAAGCCUACCAAGGCGACGAUCCAUAGCUGGUUUGAGAGAACGACCAGCCACACUGGGACUGAGACACGGCCCAGACUCCUACGGGAGGCAGCAGUGGGGAAUCUUGGACAAUGGGGGAAACCCUGAUCCAGCCAUGCCGCGUGAGUGAUGAAGGCCCUAGGGUUGUAAAACUCUUUCGGCGGGGACGAUAAUGACGGUACCCGCAGAAGAAGCUCCGGCUAACUUCGUGCCAGCAGCCGCGGUAAUACGAAGGGGGCUAGCGUUGUUCGGAAUUACUGGGCGUAAAGCGCGCGCAGGCGGUUCUUCAAGUCAGAGGUGAAAGCCCAGGGCUCAACCCUGGAAUGGCCUUUGAGACUAGAGGACUUGGGUACGGGAGAGGUGAGUGGAAUUCCGAGUGUAGAGGUGAAAUUCGUAGAUAUUCGGAAGAACACCAGUGGCGAAGGCGGCUCACUGGCCCGUUACCGNNGCUCAGGGCGACAGCGUGGGGAGCAAACAGGAUUAGAUACCCUAGUAGUCC
rnacentral:rRNA from 1 species